rnacentral:rRNA from 1 species
AGAGAGAGACAUGCGCGCAUAUCAAUAAGCGGAGGAAAAGAAACUAACAAGGAUUCCCUUAGUAACGGCGAGUGAAGCGGGAAGAGCUCAAAUUUGAAAUCUUCAAGGUUUUACCUUGACGAAUUGUAGUUUAAAGAAGUGUUUUCUGCUGAAGUUUUGGUAAAAGUUCUUUGGAAUAGGACAUCAUAGAGGGUGAGAAUCCCGUAUUUGACCAUUAUUUUCAGCUUUGUGAUACACUUUCAAAGAGUCGGAUUGUUUGGGAAUGCAGUCCAAAAUGGGUGGUAAAUUUCAUCUAAAGCUAAAUAUUGGCGAGAGACCGAUAGCGAACAAGUACCGUGAGGGAAAGAUGAAAAGAACUUUGAAAAGAGAGUUAAACAGUACGUGAAAUUGUCAAAAGGGAAGCGUUUGACACCAGUGUUGUUUUCUCGAAAAUCAAUUAAAAAUGGCUCGAUUUGUGUAUUGCUGAGGCUUACUCAGCUUUAGCAUCUUUUCUUGUCUUUUUAAUGCACUUUUCGUUUAACAAGUCAACAUCAAUUUCUUUUGUUGUAAAAGGGUCAUUGGAAGGUGGCUUUCUUUUCGGAGAAAGUGUUUAUAGCCUUUGGCCUCUGCAAUCGAAGAGACUGAGGUCUGCAGCGUAGACUCUUCGGGGUUAGAUACAUUUGUGCUAUGUUAUAGCUUUUUAUAGACAACUUGUUGACUAUAAUUAGUCUUGUAGCUUACUCGCUUAUGCUAUUUUACCUACGCUUAGGAUGUUGAAGUCAUCGUAUCGCG